UACGUAGGGUGCGAGCGUUGUCCGGAAUUAUUGGGCGUAAAGAGCUUGUAGGUGGUUUGUCGCGUCUGCUGUGAAAUCCGAGGCUCAACCUCGGACUUGCAGUGGGUACGGGCAGACUAGAGUGUGGUAGGGGAGACUGGAAUUCCUGGUGUAGCGGUGAAAUGCGUAGAUAUCAAGAGGAACACCCUGGCGGCGAAGGCGGGUUGACUGGGCUGACACUGACGCUGGAGGCGGCGAAAGCUAGGGGAGCAACGGG
rnacentral:rRNA from 1 species